rnacentral:rRNA from 1 species
UACAUAGGGGGCAAGCGUUAUCCGGAAUUACUGGGUGUAAAGGGUGCGUAGGUGGUUAUAUAAGUCAGAUGUGAAAACCCGAGGCUCAACCUCGGGAAUGCAUUUGAAACUAUGUAACUAGAGUACAGGAGAGGUAAGUGGAAUUUCUAGUGUAGCGGUAAAAUGCGUAGAUAUUAGGAAGAACACCAGUGGCGAAGGCGGAGACCUGGGCCGAUACUGACGCUGAGGUGCGAAAGCGUGGGGAGCAAACAGG